UACGGAGGGUGCAAGCGUUAUCCGGAUUCACUGGGUUUAAAGGGUGCGUAGGCGGAUAAGUAAGUCAGUGGUGAAAUCUCCGAGCUUAACUCGGAAACUGCCGUUGAUACUAUUUGUCUUGAAUAUUGUGGAGGUAAGCGGAAUAUGUCAUGUAGCGGUGAAAUGCUUAGAUAUGACAUAGAACACCAAUUGCGAAGGCAGCUUACUACACAAUCAUUGACGCUGAGGCACGAAAGCGUGGGGAUCAAACAGG
rnacentral:rRNA from 1 species